UAUAGCUCAGUGGUAGAGCAUUUGCCUAGCAUGCGUGAGGCCCUGGGUUCAAUCCCCAGUA
rnacentral:tRNA from 1 species